ACACCUGCCCCAACAACAACAGCUGCAGUAACAACAACAGCUGCUCCAACAACAAAUGCAGAGACAUCAACACCUUCUGUAACAACACUGGCAGCAACAACAACACCUGCUGUGACCACACCUACCAAUCUUGCAACUGCUGCACCAACAGCUGUGGCACUAACAACAUUAAGGGUGACUUUCAGAUCUCUUCGAAACACAUUUACAAAUGACUUGAGGGAUUCAUCAUCGGCAGCUUUUAGAAAUCUAGCUUCAGUGAUAAAGACACAGCUUGAACCUCAGUUUCAAAUGACAUUCCCUUCCUUGUUCAAGUCAUUGGAAAUUGUAUCAUUCAGAAACGGAUCAGUCAUCACUGAAAUGAAUGUCACCUUUGAAAGUGCAUCUGUGCCAAACGACACACAAAUUACAAGUGCGUUGAUCAGUGCAGCUUCAAACGUCACCGACUUUGACAUUGAAGGAAACUCCAUUACUGUGAAUGUCAUAGCAGCAACAACAACACCUUCUGUAACAAUAACAGCAGCAACAACAACACCUGCUCCAACAACAAUGGCAGAGACACCAACGUCUUCUGUAACGACAACAGCUGCAGAAACAACAACAUCUGUUCCAAUAACAACAGCUGCAGAAACAACAUCUAUUCCAACAACCACAGCUGCAGGAACAACAA